AUUGAACGCUGGCGGCAGGCCUAACACAUGCAAGUCGAGCGGAUGAAGGGAGCUUGCUCCUGGAUUAAGCGGCGGACGGGUGAGUAAUGCCUAGGAAUCUGCCUGGUAGUGGGGGAUAACGUCCGGAAACGGGCGCUAAUACCGAAUACGUCCUGAGGGAGAAAGUGGGGGAUCUUCGGACCUCACGCUAUCAGAUGAGCCUAGGUCGGAUUAGCUAGUUGGUGGGGUAAAGGCCUACCAAGGCGACGAUCCGUAACUGGUCUGAGAGGAUGAUCAGUCACACUGGAACUGAGACACGGUCCAGACUCCUACGGGAGGCAGCAGUGGGGAAUAUUGGACAAUGGGCGAAAGCCUGAUCCAGCCAUGCCGCGUGUGUGAAGAAGGUCUUCGGAUUGUAAAGCACUUUAAGUUGGGAGGAAGGGCAGUAAGUUAAUACCUUGCUGUUUUGACGUUACCAACAGAAUAAGCACCGGCUAACUUCGUG
rnacentral:rRNA from 1 species